rnacentral:tRNA from 2 species
UCCGGAUUAGCUCAGUUGGUAGAGCAGUGGACUGUUAAUCCAUGGGUCGCAAGUUCGAAUCUUGCAUCCGGAG